GCGGUCGUGGUGGAAUUGGCAGACACGUACGUUUGAGGGGCGUAUGGGCGACCAUGUGGGUUCAAGUCCCACCGUCCGCACCA
rnacentral:tRNA from 1 species